rnacentral:rRNA from 1 species
ACGGAGGAUCCGGGCGUUAUCCGGAAUUACUGGGUUUAAAGGGUGCGUAGGCGGGGCUUUAAGCCGGCGGGGAAAAGCAGCGGCUCAACCGCUGGGAUACCGUUGGGACUGGGGAUCUUGGAUACGGUCGGGGCGGGUGGAACUCGUGGUGUAGCGGUGAAAUGCAUAGAUAUCCCGAGGAACGCCGGUAGCGAAGGCAGCUCCCCGGGCCGGUAUUGACGCUGAUGCACGAAAGCGUGGGGAUCGAACAG